rnacentral:rRNA from 1 species
ACGGCUCAGUAACACGUGGAUAACCUGCCCUUGGGUCCGGCAUAACCCCGGGAAACUGGAGAUAAUUCCGGAUAACGCACAUAUGCUGGAAUGCUUUAUGCGUAAAAUGGAUUCGUCUGCCCGAGGAUGGGUCUGCGGCCUAUCAGGUAGUAGUGGGUGUAAUGUACCUACUAGCCAACAACGGGUACGGGUUGUGAGAGCAAGAGCCCGGAGAUGGAUCCUGAGACAUGAAUCCAGGCCCUACGGGGCGCAGCAGGCGCGAAAACUUUACAAUGCGGGAAACCGUGAUAAGGGGACACCGAGUGCCAGCAUCAUAUGCUGGCUGUCCGGGUGUGUAAAAUACACCUGUUAGCAAGGGCCGGGCAAGACCGGUGCCAGCCGCCGCGGUAACACCGGCGGCCCGAGUGGUGAUCGUGAUUAUUGGGUCUAAAGGGUCCGUAGCCGGCUUGGUCAGUCCUCCGGGAAAUCUGAUAGCUCAACUAUUAGGCUUUCGGGGGAUACUGCCAGACUUGGAACCGGAAGAGGUAAGAGGUACUACAGGGGUAGGAGUGAAAUCUUGUAAUCCCUGUGGGACCACCUGUGGCGAAGGCGUCUUACCAGAACGGGUUCGACGGUGAGGGACGAAAGCUGGGGGCACGAACCGGAUUAGAUACCCGGGUAGUCCCAGCCGUAAACGAUGCUCGCUAGGUGUCAGGCAUGGCGCGACCGUGUCUGGUGCCGCAGGGAAGCCGUGAAGCGAGCCACCUGGGAAGUACGGCCGCAAGGCUGAAACUUAAAGGAAUUGGCGGGGGAGCAC